UUGGCCGGCCGUGCUAGUAACAGUGCCAAAACUGCCUCAAAACGGACCGCUCCGUUCUCUCCCUCCCUCUCUCCCUUCCCUCUCUCUUCCUCUUCUUCCCUCUUUACGUAUCGAUGUUCUCGUGCGGAUAACCACCCAUCCCAGACACGUGCCCUCUAUCCGCCUUCUUACUUACCUUCCUUCCUUCGACCACCGUCUCCAUUCUGCACCCAGCCCAUCCACCCGAUCGGCUCGCUUUCCCCGCUUUUCCAACGUGACGGCCGAGACAACAAGUGUCCGAGGAUCGCGUGAUCGGGUUCAUCGCACCGAUAGUUUCCGCGCCCUGCUCCUCGAAUAUACGUGUUUGGAUACCUGUUCGCCAGUGAGCAUCGUCGUAAUCAUCGGCCAGAAGAAAGAUCGUUCAAGUAGCCGGGUCGAAUGUGCUUCGUCGCCCACGCCGUUGUUGUCGAUCAGGAUUUACGGAAAGGAAGAACGAUCCUUCAUGUUGCCGGAAAGCAAGUUUCCCGUCACAGGGGGCACUAUGCAGACCGAGGAAAUCGUGUCUCGCACACAAUCUACUGGUAUAGACGGCGGCCCCACAGACAGCGCCUCUUUGCAGCAUCAUCUGCAUCACACGUCGCACAUAAAGUGUCCGUUGCCACCUCUGCUCCACAUGGCGGUGAAGCAGGAGCCACAGGAGGAGGAGGAACGAAGUCGUGACACGAAUGCGUUGAGUCCACAAGUAGAUGCAGACACCUCGCCGACGUCCGUCGAUGGGAAACUCGGGCAUGGACACGAAACGGGCCAUCAUCAUCAGAUCCAGGAGCUUGAGGAAACUCCGGGGCAGACCGUUGCCGAUCUGAAUAAUCGAGGAAGGCCGAAUCGUGGGCGCAGGAAGUCGCGAUGGAAGCUCAAGUUCCACCACCAAGCGUUGCCUCCGGAGUAUCUGGACCACUACGAGGCGUCCCUCGCCCAGGAGGCUCUGAACUCGUCGCCGACCCGACUGACGGAGCCGACGAUAGCCAGCCCAGCGCCAACCAGCUCCACCUCGACGCCAAGCCCCAUAGCCGACGUGCACGGCUGGUUGCAGCGGAUCGCGGCGAUGCAGCAAGAGCUCUGCCCUCAGAUCUCGUCCGGCCAGUGCUCCACGAUGGCACCUAACAACGCGAAUCAAGCGUCAGUCUCGAGAAGAUCCGUGAUCACGUCCACCUCCUCUCACGCGCUCAACAACACUACCACCACCACCACCACCACCACCACCCACCACCAUAAUCACAAUCAACAGCAACAACAAUCCCCUUCCCAAGCGUGCCAAGCCAGGCCGCCCAUGAAAUACUCGGAUCUCCCUUACAUGGGCGAGAUCACGUUGGACAACAGCAAGCCGAGGCGGGGGAGGAAGCCGAAGAAGGCGGAUAUCUGCCACUUGAUAUACAAAAAUUACGGGACCAUACUGCCUGGAACCCCUGGCCACGAGGAGAGAAGGCUCUCCCCAAGGGGGGAGAAGCUCGAUUGCCGAGAGAGGAUCUCCCCGCACACGAUUCCGUUCCAGAGGUCGGACGUGCAGAACAGGAUCAGCAGCUUGUUGGAGAAACGAUUGACGCAGGAGUCGCGGCGCACGUUCGACGUCGUGGAGAAUUCGGCGAGGGAGCAGGACGAGCCUUUGAACCUGUGCAUCAGGGAUCUGAAUCAAUUGAAGAUCAGGUUGUUGAGGAAGCACGGGAACGUGUACGAGUCUGGACAGGUUAAGAGCGAGACGUCGAGCGACGGGGAGGAGGUCGAGUGCAUAGGAUCCACUUUCCCCACCGAAACGAGUUAUCGUCCUUUGUUGGAUCCGCUGGUUGUUCGUAACAGUGGGAGCAACGUGAACCACAACAACAAUAUAAUCGAUCCCAUGCUCGCCACCAAUCCGGGAUUCGUGUACUGGCCCAACGCGGGCGUGUUUAUCCACCCGAUGGCGCUGCAGUCGCAACUGCUCUACUACCAAAAGAUGGCGCAGAACGACAAGUGUUAUCCGAGAGGUUUGGAUCAGGGGCCGAAAGAGCAGAGGAUCGUUCCUAAAUCGAUAUAUUCCAUGAUGGAGGCGAAGAGCCCCCCUCUCGUUCCCGCGCCACCUGCCACCGUUCAACCGCUGACACCCGUUCAAACCGUCCCCCCCGUCCAACCUCCGGUCUCUCCCAGGCCGAAGAGGAACGCGCCCGUUGCUCAAGCCCAAGGAGGACAGCCGACCAAGAGGAAACGGUCCGCCAUAUUCAUACCGCCUAUGCCCACGGAGAACAACAACAAUCCCGCGACAGAGGUGAGCAUAUGCAAAUUCAAGUUCACAGGUGGGGCGAAACCUAGCCUCCAAGAGAAGAAGAGCCUGUCCGUCGAUUCUGGGGGCAACUUCAGGUAUUACAGCGGAACGGGGGACAAGAGUAUGCGUGGAUACGAGUUCUUCCCGCGCGAAGCUCUUCAACAGUCCGCCGGCCAGUCGGCCUCCUCGACGGGCGCCUUCCUCAACGCAGCCGGGGAAAGGAUUCAACCGCCUCCCUGUCAGAGGAGCGGGGGCAACAACCAGGAGGAGGGUCGCCGCAAGAGGAAGACGCGAAAGUCGUUGCAGAGGGAGAAAUUGGAACAAACGUUCAAGGAGAAGGGGUUCCUGAUCCAGACGCAGCAGUUGGAAUCCGCGGAGGGCGCCACCUAUUGCAAGUUUAGACAACUUAGAAAGUUCACCAGGUAUCUGUUCAGAAGCUGGAAGGAUUAUUUGCCGGGAAACGUGCGCGAGUUGACCGGGGCAACGGACAAUGAGAUUGGAGACGGAGACGCGGAGAGCGACACGAACGUGUUACCGUCCCCUGUUCCGAAUAUGGUGGACGUGCCGUCAGCUUUCGUCGACGAGCACCGCGCCCUGCCUCUCACGUGAGACAGCCACGAGGCGAUCGGUCGGUUCUAACUUCACGUUAACUUCAACCACGGUUCUCGGGGCCAAGAUCAGGGAAAUCGCUGAUGAACCACGUUGCUUCGAUCGAGGAAGCAACGUGAGGUGGGGUACGAGGGAUGGAGAGGAGGCAAGUCGAACUCGAUGUAAGUUUUUAAGGACGUAAAGAUUUUUGAUAAAGAAGAUUGUGCUCGCGAGAUGGACGAUCGGGAAUUAUUUGAAUUAGGAAGUUUCAAGUUUUAAGAUUCGAUGGGUUGUUUCAAGUUCAACCGCGUUACAUCAUUGGAAAUGGAUUUCAAGAGAAUUAUAUUACUGUGAGAAGAGGAAAUGUGUCUCUGUCUUUUUCAGAGAGAAUUUUCCACGAUGAAAUAUAUAAAAAAUUGUAAAAAUUGCGACUGACAAUGGAAAUUAGGAAACGAUAGAUUCAGCUAAUAGGUUAAACGUGAAAGACAAUUAACUUUCACUUUGUACUCAUGAUUAAUAAUAGGUAACUGUUAAUGUCAUAACAUUUAAGUAUCGAAACUUUAUAACACCUUAAAAAUGCAUAAAUGGUAUACACACAUUUUUUACGGAGUAAAGAAUGGAUAUCUUUUUUAAAUUUUCAAUUCACAUUUUCUUUCUUGAAUUCGUUUAUUUAAAAAUUUAUAAGUUUUUCUUUAAAUUUUAUUAAGAAUUGAUAUAUUACGAAACACCUUGUUGAUUUGUUAUUAGAAAUGGAAAAUUUUUUUUAAAGUAUAUUUCCAUGAUUUUAUUUAAACCAAUAUAAAGAUUUUUAAAUUAUCAUCUAUUAAUAUUGUAUUAUCUCGUGAGCGUGUAUUGAUUGUUAGCCGAGCAAAAAAUUAAUUAAAAUUCGAAAAAAAUACAAUAACGAUGUUGACCAGUUGUUAUGACAUCAUUAUAUCUAUUAUUGUAGAUAAUCUACAUCUAUGUAAUAUUUACUGGUCCUUGAAUAUCAAAAAAAAAAAGAAAAAAAAUGUGAAGAAAAAUUAUAAUAUUCAAUUAUAAUUCACAAUGAACUAAAAAACACGAUGUUAAUUGACGUUUACUUACACAAAAGUGAUAUAUAAGUCUGUGAUAUGUAGUAAUUCAUCUCAUAAUUGAUAAAAAACACACAAAAAAAAAACACUGAUCAUUCGUUUUAAUAUUCUUAAAAAUAUCCAAUUCAAAAAUUACCUAGUGAAAAAAAUAUAAAAACAUAUCGAUUGAAAUUCAUUUAUCGAGAUUUAACGAAUUUAAUUUUAUGUUAAAAAUGCUUGUAAACAGCCCCCUAUGAUCAAACCACGUUUACAUCAAGCCAGUCGGUUAAAUUUCAAUCGAAUAAAGUAAAAUUUCGAUCGUUUACGAGUCAAAGUUAUCUCGAUCUAACGAGAAAAGUUAUGCAGAUCACCAAUUUUCAUAAAUGGAUUUAUACCAACAAUCUAUCACUUCCAUUUCAUUACCAUCUAAUAAAAAUCAUCAUCACGACUUAUAAAUAAAUACGUAUUAUUUCGUGAAUCAAACGAACGAACGUACAACUAUUAACAUAACCUUAUAACAAUGCGCGAUUGAUCGAUCGUUUCACUAGAAGAAUGAGAGAAGAAAGGAACGUAUAUCGGUGAGAGAGUGGGAAGGAGAAUCGUAAAUGCUACCGCGAGCGAGGAUACGAAGAACAGAUGGCGUUCGUGUAUCGUCACGGUUAUAAUAAUAAUGUAAAUUCGAUCGUAGCUCCGUGCCAAAGAUGGGAGACUGGAAUGUAAAUAGCGCUGAAAGGACGUGUUUGUCGUAGUUAACCAAAGAGCGUGGUUUCGCCGAUUAGAAGCGGAUGCGAGUAAGGUAAUCUUCGUGUGUUAAGAAACAAGAGGCGUGACGCGAUAAAUUCAGCUUUCUAGGCGGCCUGCACGGGACGAGGCGAGACUUUCGUCGGCUUUCGAUUUUGCAAUGCAUUUCGUGCGCACCUAGAUGAGAACAGAGAAUGAAAAUGAAAAAAGAAUCAAAAGAUUCUUCUUUGAGAGAGGAGAGAGAAAGAGAAAGAAAGAGAAAAAAAGAGAAAGGAAUAAUUAGAAACGGGAAACUCCCGUAUAAUUAUACGAUUAUCAUGAUUAUUUUUUAAUCGUAAUCUAUUUAAUAACGCCUAACGAAAUCUAGUCUUAUUUAUACUCUUUGUUAAAUCAAAAGCCGUGUUUUUUUCUUUUUUAUUAUUAUUAUUAUACGCACAGCGAUUUAUUUAUGUAUGUAUAUAAUUCACAGUUUGUGUCGGCGCGUGGCGUACAUCGGAAUGCAAGGAAUGGAGAGAAAUGUGUGGACUGUUGGCGAGAAUAAAAUUGAAAUUGCGACUGUCAAGCGAUGGCGAUGGCUAGGUAACGUUCGAUGAAUUUAGGGAAUGUUAGAUUGGAAAACGAUCCGUACCUGAGGCUUGUGGCGCUCUCCUUCGAUUUUUCGCUCUCGAAUCGUCCUUUAUUCGAGACUUGUAAAUGGUUCAGGUUUUAGAGACGCGCACGCGCCGACGAGUCUCCAUUGUUGGAGGAGAAAUUGCGCUCAAAAUGGCGAUGAUUAAUGGUGGAACGAGGAAAUGUGCAACAGGAACCGUCCUAUAAUCUGUAAUCGUUAUUAUCCUGUGCAGCGACCAUUUUCAAUUCAUUCGACUAAUAAAUUAUUCUCGAAGAAUAAGAUUCACAUGCAACUCAAGAUACGAUCUGAAAAAAAAUAAUGGAACAUCGAAACGAAUUUCGUUUUAUAUUGACGAAGCAUAUAAUUCUUUCGAACAACUUUUUAUUUAUCUUCCAAUACGUGACAACGAGAAAGAAAUUAACGUUGUACGUUAUACAUUUGUGCAAUGACUGUCGAAAAAUCUUAUUUCUCCCAAACAUCACGUUGACGUAUGAAAAAUUCACGCAACAAAGUAUCAAUUAUGGAUCCACUUAUAUCGCAAAACGAUAUAACACGUUUUACAGUGAUUAUAACACGCGUGCAUGACAAUUGUCAAAAGUAAUCCCCGAAAGAAAUUUAAUUAAACCUUUCCCGAUAUGUUUCAUUGAUGCACCGGCCAAGGAUCCAUGCGCAUCACACACGAUACACCAUCACGCGGCUUGGAAGGCCAGAGAGGGUGCUGAUUCGAAGUUGAGAAAUUAUGGAUGAAGGAUUCGAGAGAAAUUUGACUUAAAAAAAAAGAGAGGAGAUGAGAGAAAUCAACAAAGAAUGAACGUAAAUGUUAUCAUAUCCUCGAUUUCUAAUUGAACGUUUUUUACGAUAUGAUUUAAUUCUCAUCCUCCUCUCGCGAAUUCCACCACGUUUAGUUCAGAAAGGAAGAAGAGAGAUAAGAAAAUUUGACGCGUUGAAUUGUUGGAAGAGGGAAGGCGUCGUCGUCGGCGUCGUCGUCGAGGUUGGCGCGCACAAUGACUGCAGGUUUCCUAAUACGGCCUCGUCGCCGAGCUGGAUGAAAAAAAGAGGAAUUUUGGCCACCAUCGGGGGCCUGGGAAGAACGUCCCGCGUUAGAUCCUGCCGGCACAGAAAUUUAAUAAUCGACCGCUGCCCGCUUCGAAAUCUUUCUCUUCCUCUUGCUAUGUACUUCAGUAUAUAUCAUUAGUCGAAGAGUUAAUGCCUCUGUGACUUUGAUCACUAUAAUCAAACUACAGAUUUUUCUGUAUAAAGCAUCAAAGAUUGUUUAAAGAAGAUUGUUUGGAUUAGAAAUUUAGAAAAUAUUACAAAAGAGUUGAUUAUUAAUUAUAUAAAAUUUGUAAAGUUAAUCCUUUUGUAACUUUGAUUAUUUUGUUUUAGAGAAAAGGAUAAUUGAAUUGCAAAUCACAAUUUAUUAUAAUGAAAAGUGAUAAGUAAUUUUUAUUGCCUGUAAGAAUAAUUAAAACAGAUUGUAACUUUUCAUUAUAGUCUUCAAUAUCAGAGACUAGUAUUGAAGAUUUAUAAUUUCUUAUAAGAAAAAAUGAGAAAACUUGAAUUAAUGUGAUCAACAUACUCUGUAAUCCAAGUUUCACACCUCUUUUAUCAUCAUAUAGUACAAAUUUUAUGCAAAUUGUAAUUCAUUCACCAUUCUUAACAAAGACAAGCUUCUUGAACACGUUUUAAAACGUCUCCAAAUUUUUAUAAGUAAGAUAACAAUGCCCAGAAACAUCGAACCACCAAAUAAACCACCAUCCUUCCAUCCUUCUCCUUCUUUCACCCCCUUCAAUCACCUUCACCUUCCACAAAACCGGAACCGGACAAAUUACACUCGUCCUCGAUCCUUUCAACAUUCGAAGACAAAGAGACGAGUCCCUCCUCCUUUCCUUUGUGUUUCCACGUGUUCUCCUCGCCAACUCCCUUAUACGGUAGAAAGAUAAGGAGUUCGCGCGCCCAGUAAAUCGGCGAUUUAAGGUGCGUCCGAGGCGCGGAGGAGAUAGCGAGAAUCGCGUGGAGCGUGAAGCGUGAACCGAGCGAGCAGGAUCGGAUAGAGCGUGGCCGGUUCGAAGGAAGACAGGUAUUCGCAGUCUAACAGGACAGGUUCGUUCGCGAAAAACUUCAAUUUGUCUCGCACGCUCCCCCAUCCGCGCAGGGAUAUCUCUUCGAUAAUACGCGCGCGCCAGGAAGGGAAAUCGAGUGGCGAUAACGUUGGAUAUUCUUUGGAAUUGCUAUUUCUUUUUGGAGGGAAAUUGAAAUUUGGAAAGGAACGAGAAUUUUGAUGAUUGAUAAGGAAUUGUGAAUUUUUUUUUUAAAAUGUUUUUGGAUUUAAUGAAGUUUAAUUUUAGUAUGCAAAAGAGAGUUGGGAAUGUUUUGGAAAAUUUGUUCAAAUUUCAAAAGUUUUGAAACUGAUUUCUUGAAAUUCUAAAAUUAUUGAUUAUGAGUAAUUCUAGAAACGAGGAAAUAAAAUCUAAGGAAAAAUCUUGGAUCAUUUGUAAUAUUUUAGGAGAAAAGAAACACUGUAUGCUAUUAAUAUAUCCAAAAAUUAGAUCGAUGCAAGUGUGAACUGUGAUAAAAAAAAAGUAACAAACAACGAUAAAAAAAUAAAAACAAAAAUAAUUACCGUAUAAUUCAAAGAAUCCUCGAAAGAAAAAUAACCAAAUCACGACUCAAUUCCAAAUAAUUUUCUUGAUCGCUGUUCAAAUUUCGCGCCAUAAACUUUCCUUAUCGCUCCCGCUCUGCUCCUUCUCCAAGGAACGAUAAUUAAACAGUAUCGGUCAAUAUCCCAAAAAAUACUCUCACAGGAACACGUUCCUUUUUACGCGAUAUCGACGCGUUCCCCGCAAUUAUAUCCGUCUGAAUGGCGGCCGUGUGCUCGCCAUCAGGCGUAGGCGGAGUCAACCGAUUUUAAACAACUGGCUGUACGCAUUAAUUAAAUCCAGGAGUCUGUGUACUACUCCCUUGACUCCAUACAAGGUGGCCGGUCUUAAUUUGGCAUUGGCGAAAUAGUAACGCCGGUGCUGCUUAACACCAGCCCAUUGUCCUGUCCACCUCAACGCAGCCAGGAUUCAAUAAUUAAUUAACUGUAUUUCAUCGAACGCUUCCAUUUACCGCACCAACCACGGUAUACAUCCAUCCAACGUGGAAUUAUUAUCGCGUAAAUCAUGGAAUGCGUGCUUCCUUUUAAGCGUUUCGACUCGAAAUCGAAAUGCUUAUUAUAAGAGAACUCUUGGUUCAGUUCCUAUUAGGGGUUGGUAAACGGUGGUUUCUGAUUUAUCGACUCAUUUUGUGACCGCGGUUACUGUUGCUUGGCCGAUUACUUGUUUACGAGAUUUUAUCGAGAUUUUGCGUGAGUAAUAGCUAUCUUGGUGUCAGUGAGAUUUUUCGAUACGAAAUCAAGGAUGUUCCUUUUUCGAAAAGUUGAUAGUUCAGCUCGAGAGGAGCGGGUAAAGCAAGAAACAGACGCCACCGGAAAUCAUCAUUCUAACCGGGUACGUUUAAUCGAAGGGAAAACCGGAAUAUGCCGCGGGCUGACUGACAACAGGAUCAACCUGCUCUGUGGACGUAUCGAAGCCAGGAUUCCAUUCCGGCUCGAUUUUUCUACACCGACACGGCGACCAAGUAUCCCCACUCCUCCACGACCGACUCUUUUCUUCUACCACUGAUUAAUUACACGUAUUGUUAGACGAGCGUUCUUCUUCUCGAUCGUGCAAAUGUGGCGCCGUUCUAGUCGAGUGGAAAUGGGAAACGUCGCAAACGUUGGUAAUACUGGUCUACACCGGUCCUAUUUGCGCUGCGAACGUCAGAGUGCACCGCAAAGUCCAUAUCCCUAAGUUUCGAGGAUACGACACGAGGAUAUCGUGGCCGGCACGUACACCAGCUGGUCCAACUUCUUGUCCAGCGUCGACAGCUGCAACGAAAACGAAAAAUCGGAAUUGGAAUCAGUGAGAGCAAGAACCCCCGACUUCUGGAGGGGAUAUGUCCGUGGAUCAUUCGUGGCUCGAAGAGGAAGAGUGCAAGAGAGAAAGAGAGAGAAAGAAAUGCAAGACGAUGGAACCGGAUACAACGAAACGUUUUUGACACGAGACGUUCUGUAUAUCAUCCAUUCCCGAAUGUUUUUUGUCAAAAAAAGAUUUUAUGAACAUUUCAAAGAAAGAUUCCAAGGAAAAAUAUUAAUUAUAAAUUCAUUGGUUAUCCUUGAUUAAAAUCUUAUAAAGACAAA